GAUGAACGCUGGCGGCGUGCCUAAUACAUGCAAGUCGAGCGAACAGACGAGGAGCUUGCUCCUUCGACUUUAUCGGCGGACGGGUGAGUAACACGUAGGUAACCUACCUAUAAGACUGGGAUAACUUCGGGAAACCGUAGCUAAUACCGGAUAAUAUUUCGAACCGCAUUGUUCGAUAGUUAAAGAUGGCUUUUCUCUCACUUAUAGAUGGACCUGCGCCGUAUUAGCUAGUUGGUAAGGUAACGGCUUACCAAGGCAACGAUACGUAGCCGACCUGAGAGGGUGGUCGGACACACUGGAACAGAGACACGGUCCAGACUCCUACGGGAGGCAGCAGUAGAGAAUCUUACGCAAUGGGCGAAAGCCUGACGGAGCAACGCCGCGUGAGUGAUGAAGGUCUUAGGAUCGUAAAACUCUGUUAUUAGGGAAGAACAAAAGUGUAAGUACCUGUGCACGUCUUGACGGUACCUAAUCAGAAAGCCACGGCUAACUACGUG
rnacentral:rRNA from 1 species